AUUGAACGCUGGCGGCAUGCCUUACACAUGCAAGUCGAACGGUAACAGGUCUUCGGAUGCUGACGAGUGGCGAACGGGUGAGUAAUACAUCGGAACGUGCCUAGUAGUGGGGGAUAACUACUCGAAAGAGUGGCUAAUACCGCAUGAGAUCCACGGAUGAAAGCAGGGGAUCGCAAGACCUUGUGCUACUAGAGCGGCCGAUGGCAGAUUAGGUAGCUGGUGGGAUAAAAGCUUACCAAGCCGACGAUCUGUAGCUGGUCUGAGAGGACGAUCAGCCACACUGGGACCGAGACACGGCCCAGACUCCUACGGGAGGCAGCAGUGGGGAAUUUUGGACAAUGGGCGCAAGCCUGAUCCAGCAAUGCCGCGUGCAGGAUGAAGGCCUUCGGGUUGUAAACUGCUUUUGUACGGAACGAAAAGCCCUGGGUUAAUACCCUGGGGUCAUGACGGUACCGUAAGAAUAAGCACCGGCUAACUACGUGCCAGCCGCCGCAGUAACAC
rnacentral:rRNA from 1 species